GCCCUGCUGUGGAAAGGACAGGGUGCAAAUGUUUAUGUAAAUUACUGUGCUUGGAGGGAGGUCAGAAUGUAUGUCAGUCUGUGCCAGAGCCCAGGGUGUCUGUGGAAUCGUGUAACAAGGUAUGUAGACAAUUGUGCUGAGGGGGAAAGCAGAGCAAGCAUGUGUGCCAGUCUGUGCCAGAACCAGAUAUGUCUGCAAUACGAUGUGAGAGUGUGCCAAGACAGAGUCACUGGGAGGGAGGGCAGAGUGAGAGUGUGUAUCAGUCUGUGC